rnacentral:rRNA from 1 species
UACGGAGGGUGCGAGCGUUAAUCGGAAUUAUUGGGCGUAAAGGGUGAGUAGGUGGUUAGAUAAGUGAGUUGAGAAAGCCCUGGGCUUAACCUGGGGAUGUUUACUGAGACUGUCUGACUAGAGAUGAGGAGAGGGUAGUGGAAUUUCCGGUGUAGCGGUGAAAUGCGUAGAUAUCGGAAGGAACACCGGUGGCGAAGGCGUCUACCUGGCCUUAAACUGACACUGAAUCACGAAAGCGUGGGUAGCAAACAGG